rnacentral:rRNA from 1 species
CAGGAUGAAACGCUAGCGACAGGCUUAACACAUGCAAGUCGAGGGGCAGCAUAAAAGUAGCAAUACUUGGUGGCGACCGGCGCACGGGUGAGUAACGCGUAUGCAACCUACCUAUCAGAGGGGAAUAACCCGGCGAAAGUCGGACUAAUACCGCAUAAAACAGGGGCACCGCAUGGUGAUAUUUGUUAAAGAAAUUCGCUGAUAGAUGGGCAUGCGUUCCAUUAGGUAGUUGGUGAGGUAACGGCUCACCAAGCCGACGAUGGAUAGGGGAACUGAGAGGUUGGUCCCCCACACUGGUACUGAGACACGGACCAGACUCCUACGGGAGGCAGCAGUGAGGAAUAUUGGUCAAUGGGCGGGAGCCUGAACCAGCCAAGUCGCCGUGAAGGAAGAAGGAUCUAUGGUUCGUAAACUUCUUUUGCAGGGGAAUAAAGUGCAGGACGUGUCCUGUUUUGUAUGUACCCUGAGAAUAAGGAUCGGCUAACUCCGUGCCAGCCGCGGC